rnacentral:rRNA from 1 species
UUAAGCGACUAAGCGUACACGGUGGAUGCCCUGGCAGUCAGAGGCGAUGAAGGACGUGCUAAUCUGCGAAAAGCGUCGGUAAGGUGAUAUGAACCGUUACAGCCGGCGAUGUCCGAAUGGGGAAACCCAGUGUGAUUCGUCACACUAUCGUUAACUGAAUACAUAGGUUAACGAGGCGAACCGGGGGAACUGAAACAUCUAAGUACCCCGAGGAAAAGAAAUCAACCGAGAUUCCCCCAGUAGCGGCGAGCGAACGGGGAGCAGCCCAGAGUCUGAAUCAGCUUGUGUGUUAGUGGAACGGUCUGGAAAGUCCGACGGUACAGGGUGAUAGUCCCGUACACCAAAAUGCACAGGCUGUGAACUCGAAGAGUAGGGCGGGACACGUGGUAUCCUGUCUGAAUAUGGGGGGACCAUCCUCCAAGGCUAAAUACUCCUGACUGACCGAUAGUGAACCAGUACCGUGAGGGAAAGGCGAAAAGAACCCCGGCGAGGGGAGUGAAAAAGAACCUGAAACCGUGUACGUACAAGCAGUGGGAGCACCUUCGGGUGUGACUGCGUACCUUUUGUAUAAUGGGUCAGCGACUUAUAUUCUGUAGCAAGGUUAACCGUAUAGGGGAGCCGCAGGGAAACCGAGUCUUAACUGGGCGUUAAGUUGCAGGGUAUAGACCCGAAACCCGGUGAUCUAGCCAUGGGCAGGUUGAAGGUUGGGUAACACUAACUGGAGGACCGAACCGACUAAUGUUGAAAAAUUAGCGGAUGACUUGUGGCUGGGGGUGAAAGGCCAAUCAAACCGGGAGAUAGCUGGUUCUCCCCGAAAGCUAUUUAGGUAGCGCCUCGUGAAUUCAUCUUCGGGGGUAGAGCACUGUUUCGGCUAGGGGGUCAUCCCGACUUACCAACCCGAUGCAAACUACGAAUACCGAAGAAUGUUAUCACGGGAGACACACGGCGGGUGCUAACGUCCGUCGUGAAGAGGGAAACAACCCAGACCGCCAGCUAAGGUCCCAAAGUCACAGUUAAGUGGGAAACGAUGUGGGAAGGCACAGACAGCCAGGAUGUUGGCUUAGAAGCAGCCAUCAUUUAAAGAAAGCGUAAUAGCUCACUGGUCGAGUCGGCCUGCGCGGAAGAUGUAACGGGGCUAAACUGUGCACCGAAGCUGCGGCAGCGACACUAUGUGUUGUUGGGUAGGGGAGCGUUCUGUAAGCCUGCGAAGGUGGCCUGUGAGGGUUGCUGGAGGUAUCAGAAGUGCGAAUGCUGACAUAAGUAACGAUAAUGCGGGUGAAAAGCCCGCACGCCGGAAGACCAAGGGUUCCUGUCCAACGUUAAUCGGGGCAGGGUGAGUCGACCCCUAAGGCGAGGCCGAAAGGCGUAGUCGAUGGGAAACAGGUUAAUAUUCCUGUACUUGGUGUUACUGCGAAGGGGGGACGGAGAAGGCUAUGUUAGCCGGGCGACGGUUGUCCCGGUUUAAGCAUGUAGGCGGAGGUUCCAGGUAAAUCCGGUACCUUUUUAACGCUGAGGUGUGAUGACGAGGCACUACGGUGCUGAAGUAACAAAUGCCCUGCUUCCAGGAAAAGCCUCUAAGCAUCAGGUAACAUUAAAUCGUACCCCAAACCGACACAGGUGGUCAGGUAGAGAAUACCAAGGCGCUUGAGAGAACUCGGGUGAAGGAACUAGGCAAAAUGGUGCCGUAACUUCGGGAGAAGGCACGCUGAUAUGUAGGUGAAGCCCCUGCGGGUGGAGCUGAAAUCAGUCGAAGAUACCAGCUGGCUGCAACUGUUUAUUAAAAACACAGCACUGUGCAAACACGAAAGUGGACGUAUACGGUGUGACGCCUGCCCGGUGCCGGAAGGUUAAUUGAUGGGGUUAUCCGUAAGGAGAAGCUCUUGAUCGAAGCCCCGGUAAACGGCGGCCGUAACUAUAACGGUCCUAAGGUAGCGAAAUUCCUUGUCGGGU